rnacentral:rRNA from 1 species
UACGUAGGGGGCUAGCGUUGUCCGGAAUCAUUGGGCGUAAAGAGCGUGUAGGCGGCCCGGUAAGUCCGCUGUGAAAACUCGAGGCUCAACCUCGAGACGUCGGCGGAAACCAUCUGGCUAGAGUCCGGAAGAGGAGAGUGGAAUUCCUGGUGUAGCGGUGAAAUGCGCAGAUAUCAGGAAGAACACCCGUGGCGAAGGCGGCUCUCUGGGACGGUACUGACGCUGAGACGCGAAAGCGUGGGGAGCGAACAGG